rnacentral:rRNA from 1 species
ACUCAAAUGAAUAGACGGGGGCCCGCACAAGCGGUGGAGCAUGUGGUUUAAUUCGAUGCAACGCGAAGAACCUUACCUACCCUUGACAUGUCAGGAAGCCUGGUUAAGCGCCGGGUGUGCCGAAAGGAACCUGAACACAGGUGCUGCAUGGCUGUCGUCAGCUCGUGUCGUGAGAUGUUGGGUUAAGUCCCGUAACGAGCGCAACCCUUGUCCUUCGUUGCCAGGCCGUAAGGCGGAACUCGAAGGAGACUGCCGGUGAUAAACCGGAGGAAGGUGGGGAUGACGUCAAGUCAUCAUGGCCUUUAUGGGUAGGGCUACACACGUGCUACAAUGGGCGUUACAGAGGGUUGCGAACCUGCGAAGGGGAGCUAAUCCUGAAAAAGCGCUCGUAGUCCGGAUCGGAGUCUGCAACUCGACUCCGUGAAGUCGGAAUCGCUAGUAAUCGCGGAUCAGAAUGCCGCGGUGAAUACGUUCCCGGGCCUUGUACACACCGCCCGU